GAGUGGCGGACGGGUGAGUAACGCGUAGGAAUCUGUCUUUGAGUGGGGGACAACCCAGGGAAACUUGGGCUAAUACCGCAUAAGCCCUGAGGGGGAAAGCGGGGGAUCUUCGGACCUCGCGCUGGAAGAGGAGCCUACGUCUGAUUAGCUAGUUGGUAGGGUAAAGGCCUACCAAGGCGACGAUCGGUAGCUGGUCUGAGAGGACGACCAGCCACACUGGGACUGAGACACGGCCCAGACUCCUACGGGAGGCAGCAGUGGGGAAUUUUUCGCAAUGGGGGCAACCCUGACGAAGCAAUGCCGCGUGAAUGAAGAAGGCCUUCGGGUUGUAAAGUUCUUUCGUGGAGGACGAAAAGGUGGGUGCUAAUAUCGCCUGCUGUUGACGUGAAUCCAAGAAGAAGCACCGGCUAACUCCGUGCCAGCAGCCGCGGUAAUACGGGGGGUGCAAGCGUUAAUCGGAAUCACUGGGCGUAAAGGGUGCGUAGGCGGUGCAUUAGGUCUGUCGUGAAAUCCCCGGGCUCAACCUGGGAAUGGCGGUGGAAACCGGUGUACUAGAGUAUGGGAGAGGGUGGUGGAAUUCCAGGUGUAGCGGUGAAAUGCGUAGAGAUCUGGAGGAACAUCAGUGGCGAAGGCGGCCACCUGGCCCAAUACUGACGCUGAGGCACGAAAGCGUGGGGAGCAAACAGGAUUAGAUACCCU
rnacentral:rRNA from 1 species